rnacentral:rRNA from 1 species
AGUGAACGCUGGCGGUAGGCCUAACACAUGCAAGUCGAACGGCAGCACAGUAAGAGCUUGCUCUUACGGGUGGCGAGUGGCGGACGGGUGAGGAAUACAUCGGAAUCUACUUUUUCGUGGGGGAUAACGUAGGGAAACUUACGCUAAUACCGCAUACGACCUACGGGUGAAAGCAGGGGAUCUUCGGACCUUGCGCGAUUGAAUGAGCCGAUGUCGGAUUAGCUAGUUGGCGGGGUAAAGGCCCACCUAGGCGACGAUCCGUAGCUGGUCUGAGGGGAUGAUCAGCCACACUGGAACUGAGACACGGUCCAGACUCCUACGGGAGGCAGCAGUGGGGAAUAUUGGACAAUGGGCGCAAGCCUGAUCCAGCCAUACCGCGUGGGUGAAGAAGGCCUUCGGGUUGUAAAGCCCUUUUGUUGGGAAAGAAAAGCAGCAGGUUAAUACCCCGCUGUUCUGACGGUACCCAAAGAAUAAGCACCGGCUAACUUCGUG